UACGAAGGGGGCUAGCGUUGCUCGGAAUUACUGGGCGUAAAGCGCACGUAGGCGGAUUGGAAAGUUGGGGGUGAAAUCCCGGGGCUCAACCCCGGAACUGCCUUCAAAACUCCCAGUCUGGAGGUCGAGAGAGGUGAGUGGAAUUCCGAGUGUAGAGGUGAAAUUCGUAGAUAUUCGGAGGAACACCAGUGGCGAAGGCGGCUCACUGGCUCGAUACUGACGCUGAGGUGCGAAAGCGUGGGGAGCAAACAGG
rnacentral:rRNA from 1 species